rnacentral:rRNA from 1 species
AUUGAACGCUGGCGGCAUGCCUUACACAUGCAAGUCGAACGGCAGCGCGGGAGCAAUCCUGGCGGCGAGUGGCGAACGGGUGAGUAAUACAUCGGAACGUGCCCAAUCGUGGGGGAUAACGCAGCGAAAGCUGUGCUAAUACCGCAUAAGAUCUACGGAUGAAAGCAGGGGAUCGCAAGACCUUGCGCGAAUGGAGCGGCCGAUGGCAGAUUAGGUAGUUGGUGAGGUAAAGGCUCACCAAGCCUUCGAUCUGUAGCUGGUCUGAGAGGACGACCAGCCACACUGGGACUGAGACACGGCCCAGACUCCUACGGGAGGCAGCAGUGGGGAAUUUUGGACAAUGGGCGCAAGCCUGAUCCAGCCAUGCCGCGUGCAGGAUGAAGGCCUUCGGGUUGUAAACUGCUUUUGUACGGAACGAAAAGUCUCUUUCUAAUAAAGAGGGAUCAUGACGGUACCGUAAGGAUAAGCACCGGCUAACUACGUGC